GAUGAACGCUGGCGGCGUGCCUAAUACAUGCAAGUCGAGCGAACAGAUGAGGAGCUUGCUCCUCUGACGUUAGCGGCGGACGGGUGAGUAACACGUGGAUAACCUACCUAUAAGACUGGGAUAACUUCGGGAAACCGGAGCUAAUACCGGAUAAUAUAUUGAACCGCAUGGUUCAAUAGUGAAAGACGGUUUUGCUGUCACUUAUAGAUGGAUCCGCGCCGCAUUAGCUAGUUGGUAAGGUAACGGCUUACCAAGGCAACGAUGCGUAGCCGACCUGAGAGGGUGAUCGGCCACACUGGAACUGAGACACGGUCCAGACUCCUACGGGAGGCAACAGUAGGGAAUCUUCCGCAAUGGGCGAAAGCCUGACGGAGCAACGCCGCGUGAGUGAUGAAGGUCUUCGGAUCGUAAAACUCUGUUAUUAGGGAAGAACGAAUGUGUAAGUAACUAUGCACGUCUUGACGGUACCUAAUCAGAAAGCCACGGCUAACUACGUG
rnacentral:rRNA from 1 species